rnacentral:rRNA from 1 species
AUUGAACGCUGGCGGCAGGCCUAACACAUGCAAGUCGAGCGGAUGAAGGGAGCUUGCUCCUGGAUUCAGCGGCGGACGGGUGAGUAAUGCCUAGGAAUCUGCCUGGUAGUGGGUGAUAACGUCCGGAAACGGGCGCUAAUACCGCAUACGUCCUGAGGGAGAAAGUGGGGGAUCUUCGGACCUCACGCUAUCAGAUGAGCCUAGGUCGGAUUAGCUAGUUGGUGGGGUAAAGGCCUACCAAGGCGACGAUCCGUAACUGGUCUGAGAGGAUGAUCAGUCACACUGGAACUGAGACACGGUCCAGACUCCUACGGGAGGCAGCAGUGGGGAAUAUUGGACAAUGGGCGAAAGCCUGAUCCAGCCAUGCCGAGUGUGUGAAGAAGGUCUUCGGAUUGUAAAGCACUUUAAGUUGGGAGGAAGGGCAGUAAGUUAAUACCUUGCUGUUUUGACGUUACCAACAGAAUAAGCACCGGCUAACUUCGUG